UACGGGGGGGAGCAAGCGUUGUUCGGAUUUACUGGGCGUAAAGGGCGCGUAGGCGGUCGUGACAAGUCACUUGUGAAAUCUCCGGGCUUAACUCGGAACGGUCAAGUGAUACUGUCGGACUAGAGUACAGAAGGGGCAACUGGAAUUCUCGGUGUAGCGGUGAAAUGCGUAGAUAUCAGGAGGAACACCGGUGGCGAAGGCGGGUCUCUGGGCAGUAACUGACGCUGAGGAGCGAAAGCGUGGGGAGCGAACAGG
rnacentral:rRNA from 1 species